rnacentral:tRNA from 1 species
GUACCCGUAGCUCAGUUGGAUUAGAGCGUUCCCCUCCGAAGGGAAAGGCCGCGCGUUCAAGUCGCGCCGGGUACA